rnacentral:miRNA from 1 species
CUGUUAAUGGAAAAUGUUGA